rnacentral:tRNA from 1 species
GGUGGAUUAGUUCAGUGGUUAGAGCUUAGGUCUUGUGACCGAAAGGUCCCAGGAUCGAAUCUCGACAUGGGCA